rnacentral:ncRNA from 2 species
CAUCGCUUGACGGAGCGCGAGUAAUUCCUCGCUGAGAUUUAGUCAGUUUUGCAUCUCCUUGCCAAAACUUAAACUAAAGUACCGUUGAACCUGAUCAGGUUAAGACCUGCGUAGGAAUCAAGCAUCUAAAAACU